CAGCCGCCACGGUAAUACGAAGGGUGCAAGCGUUAAUCGGAAUUACUGGGCGUAAAGCGUGCGUAGGCGGUGGUUUAAGUCCGUUGUGAAAGCCCUGGGCUCAACCUGGGAAUUGCAGUGGAUACUGGGUCACUAGAGUGUGGUAGAGGAUAGUGGAAUUUCCGGUGUAGCAGUGAAAUGCGUAGAGAUCGGAAGGAACAUCUGUGGCGAAGGCGACUAUCUGGGCCAACACUGACGCUGAGGCACGAAAGCGUGGGGAGCAAACAGGAUUAGAUACCCCCGUAGUCCCUGUCUCUUAUAC
rnacentral:rRNA from 1 species